UACGUAGGUGGCAAGCGUUAUCCGGAAUUACUGGGCGUAAAGAGCUCGUAGGUGGUUUGUCACGUCGUCUGUGAAAUUCCGGGGCUUAACCUCGGGCGUGCAGGCGAUACGGGCAAUACUUGAGUGCUGUAGGGGAGACUGGAAUUCCUGGUGUAGCGGUGAAAUGCGCAGAUAUCAGGAGGAACACCAAUGGCGAAGGCAGGUCUCUGGGCAGUUACUGACGCUGAGGAGCGAAAGCAUGGGUAGCGAACAGGAUUAGA
rnacentral:rRNA from 1 species